rnacentral:rRNA from 1 species
AUAAUGGGUCAGCGACUUAUAUUCUGUAGCAAGGUUAACCGAAUAGGGGAGCCGAAGGGAAACCGAGUCUUAACUGGGCGUUAAGUUGCAGGGUAUAGACCCGAAACCCGGUGAUCUAGCCAUGGGCAGGUUGAAGGUUGGGUAACACUAACUGGAGGACCGAACCGACUAAUGUUGAAAAAUUAGCGGAUGACUUGUGGCUGGGGGUGAAAGGCCAAUCAAACCGGGAGAUAGCUGGUUCUCCCCGAAAGCUAUUUAGGUAGCGCCUCGUGAAUUCAUCUCCGGGGGUAGAGCACUGUUUCGGCAAGGGGGUCAUCCCGACUUACCAACCCGAUGCAAACUGCGAAUACCGGAGAAUGUUAUCACGGGAGACACACGGCGGGUGCUAACGUCCGUCGUGAAGAGGGAAACAACCCAGACCGCCAGCUAAGGUCCCAAAGUCAUGGUUAAGUGGGAAACGAUGUGGGAAGGCCCAGACAGCCAGGAUGUUGGCUUAGAAGCAGCCAUCAUUUAAAGAAAGCGUAAUAGCUCACUGGUCGAGUCGGCCUGCGCGGAAGAUGUAACGGGGCUAAACCAUGCACCGAAGCUGCGGCAGCGACGCUGAUGCGUUGUUGGGUAGGGGAGCGUUCUGUAAGCCUGCGAAGGUGUGCUGUGAGGCAUGCUGGAGGUAUCAGAAGUGCGAAUGCUGACAUAAGUAACGAUAAAGCGGGUGAAAAGCCCGCUCGCCGGAAGACCAAGGGUUCCUGUCCAACGUUAAUCGGGGCAGGGUGAGUCGACCCCUAAGGCGAGGCCGAAAGGCGUAGUCGAUGGGAAACAGGUUAAUAUUCCUGUACUUGGUGUUACUGCGAAGGGGGGACGGAGAAGGCUAUGUUGGCCGGGCGACGGUUGUCCCGGUUUAAGCGUGUAGGCUGGUUUUCCAGGCAAAUCCGGAAA